rnacentral:lncRNA from 1 species
GAACCACAGGGUACCUCUGUUUUUUCUUUCUUUUUAGAUGUAUAGUGACAAUUUUUGUGUCAAUUUUAUUGAGGUACAAUUAACAUACAGUAAGUUUUGCCAAUUAUUUUUUUGUGUGUAUGUGGUGCUGGGGAUUGAACUCAGGGCCUUGUGCAUGCAAGGCAAGCACUCUACCAACUGAGCUAUAUCCCCAGCACCCCUCUGGUUUUUCAACCUGGGCUCUCUACUCAGUGACAGGCACCUUCCAAGAUAACAAAUGUAGACAUAGCAGGGCCUUGCAGUCAAGUAUCUGGAACUCAUCCCUUCUAUCAUGUCCUCUGGGUCAAAGCAAGCCAAGACAACAUUCCAGAAUCAAGAUUUCUACCUUUUAAUAGGAGAAGCUGUAAAAUAUUAUGGCCCAGCUUUUCAAUCUACCACAUUGCUAUAAAGCAGCUUUCCUAGUUUGUAAGUAGCAGAAAAGUUACAGGAAUCAUCCACCAGUGUCCAGCCCAGUACUUAACGCCUGGCAAGCUCUCACUGUUGGUUCAGUAAAUGAAUGAAGGUCAUCAGUGAUACUAUUCUUUGACCUUGUACAGGUUCUUUAGAAAUAUUGGCUUGUGCUGCCCCCUAGAGGAACCUGAGGAUUGGUGUGUUUACCCUGGGGCCUGGAAUGUUCUUAGAGGUGGAACUGUAGGGUUAUGGCAGUGGGUCCUGCCAUUUAGCAUAGGGUAUGAGUUAUAUUCCUGGGCUCCAUCUAAACAGAUCCAUUGAGUCUUAGGUCUUAGGCUCUGAUAGUGGAUGCUGCAGGGUGAGGCUACAGCACUGGAACAGGAAUCUAUGUUCAGGUGGUGAGACUUGUCAGAACAGAGCUCUGCCUCUUUCUGUCUGUAACCUUGGGACAUCCACUUAAUAUCUGUUAUUCUCAGUUCUCUCGUUUGUUAAAUGGGGUUAAUGAUAUCUACCUCAUAGGGUUGUUGAGAUUAGAAAUAGUUACAGUGCUUAACAGACUGUAACUCAGGAAGUGGGUGGUUAAUGUUGUAUAAUAGACGAAGGUCUUUGAAAAUGUGUAGUAGAUGUUCAACAAACAUUAAAAGAAUUUAGAAACUUAAACACCAUAAGAACAAGAAGCAUAGCUUCACCACUGGUUUCCAAGAUCUAGUGUUUAAAAAAUGAGGUAUAUUAGGUGCUCAACAGAUUAUAUAUAUUUUUGGUACCAGGGAUUGAACCCAGGGUCACUUAACCACAAAGUCACAUCCACAACCUUUUUUAUAUUUUAUUAGAGACAGAGUCUCACUGAGUUUCUUAGGGCCUCAUUGAUUUGCUGAGACUGGCUUUGAACUUGUGAUCUUCCUGCCUUAGCCUCCCAAGUUGCUGGGAUUAUAAGCGUGUGCCAUCACAUCUGGCUCUAACAAAUAUAUAUAUAUUUUCAUAUUUUUUUAGUUAUACAUGGACACAAUAUCUUUAUUUUGUUUAUUUAUUUUUAUGUGGUAUUGAAGAUCAAACCCAGUGCCUCAUAUGUGCAAAGCAAGCACUCUACCACUGAGCCACAACCCCAGCCCGUCUAACAAGUAUUUUUUGAAAGAGUAAAUGAAGUGCUCAAAUCCUGCCUCUAUCCAUAUGGGUAUUAUCCCAGUGGAUAUUUCAUUAUCAAUACUGGUUGUACAUUACUGAUAGUAUAAGAAAUUUGGUGUGUGUGGCAUGUAUACACGUGUACACAUGUGUGUUAUUUUUAUACAAGUGUCUUCUCAGGACUUGUAGACACUUUGUUUUGUGUCCACCUCAACACUGACUAAGCUGCCAGGAAGCAAGUAGUUUUUAGAAUUUUUUUUUUUUUUUUAAUGGGUGUAGUGAUAAGUAUGGGAGGCUUAAAGACAGAUGAUUUGUUUUGGAUUUGACUCUUUCUGUUUCCCAAAGAGUAGCAACCUAGCUUUGGUUUAGCAAAUGAUGACCCCUAAGGUAUAGCAGAGCAACAGGAAAACAGUUAAUAGCAGUGUCACUUCACCAACCUGGCCUGGCUGUUCAGUUUGGGAAGAGAGAGAAAUAGAUUUUGAUCAUGUUUGGGCCAGUAGUUUUUAGGGUCUGUCUCUUCCAAUGACCUUAACUAAUACAUACUUCUCCCAAUACCGGGGACAUCUUGGUGGCACCACUUAAUGGUUUGUGGAGCUGAUUGGAGGCUGGUGGCAGAGCACUUGGAAGUCAUUGUGUACUUUACAGAAUGCUGUCUUUUAUAUUCUUUCAUAUAGACUUCUUAACAAAAAUUAUUAGUAUUUUUGUUUAUAAGGUUUGGAAAGAAAUGUAACUUGUUACAGUUGAUCCAAUAUGCAAAAGUGCAACACAGAAAUCACAACCAUAAAUAGAAAGUAAGCUGCCAAGCCACAUGCUCUGUUUGGGAUUGACUUUCAUAUAUAUAUAUAUACACAUGUAUAUAUGUUUUGUUUUGAGGUACUAGGAAUUGAUCCCCAGGCCUUUUGCAUGCUAGGCAAAUGCUCUGUUUUGAGCUCCAUCCUCAGCCCUCUCCUAUUAAUAUAUUUUUUUUGUUUUCUUGAUUUGUUCUAAUUAGUUGUACAUGACAGUAGAAUGCAUUUUGACACAUUGUACACAUUUUGAAAGCACAUUUUCAUCAUUGGAGUGUUCUUUACAGUUCUGGAACAUUGCUACAUUUUGUGUCCUCUUUUCUUUUCAUUGUGUACUCUCAGUGGCAAUGAUUGUAGUAUAUGUGACUAUGGCAGUAGGAGGCAUACAUUUUUUAGAAAUUGGUUCACGCGAUUGGUUAGGUUGAAUGUGCUCACAAUUCCUGUGGUUGAAUGUCUUUGCAGUCUCUCCUCUGAAAAGUACAGUGUCAAGUAGCACUCUGAGGAGUCAGCCUUUGUCCUAGAUACUGAAUAUUUGCAAGGGAUCCAGCACAGUACACAGGAAAUUCAGAGGUACCCAUCAUAACAGAUCAUCCAUUACCUUUAUGAACGACUGUUUCCACAGCCAUCAAGAUAACCUGGGUCCAUGAUUCUCAUCAUUGUCAAACCAGUGUCUCUGGGAUCCCUCUCUGAGGCCCUAAAGGGUAGGGAACUCCAAAAUCUAGGGAUGUUAUCUCCCCUUUGUCCCUUAGGAGGAGAGACCUCCUUCGUUCUCUGAGCAAGCCCUCUUCUGGUAUCUUCACUAGGUAUAAGGUGGCAGUGGUCCUCAACUUGCUCCUUAGUGAGGAAGCCUGGCUUCUCUUCAUCAUGGUGAUGUGACAGGAACAGGCCCCUGAAGGCCAGCAGGUGAGGAUGUGCUUCCCAGCUCCACUUCUCACUGUUAGACCCAGCAUAGGUAAGGGAGGCCCCCCCUUUUUAAUAUUUAUUUUUUAGUUGUAAUUGGACACAAUACCUUUAUUUUAUUUAUUUAUUUUUACGUGGUGCUGAGGAUCAAACCCAGGGCCUCACAUGUGCUAGUUGAGCGCUCUACUGCUGAGCCACCUCCCCAGCCCCAAGGGAGGCUCUUUUGCAUUUGUGUGUGUGUGUGUGUGUGUGUGUGUGUUUUCAUUAGCAAUUUACUUGCUGCUAUAUUGUCUUCAUAAUAACCAUAACCAUUUUUAGCAACUGUACAUUAUUUCAUCAAACAAUAGAAUUUAUUUAAAGAGUACCUUAUUGUUGGCUCUUUUUUUAAUAAAAAUAUUUUUAGUUGUAGAUGGACAUAAUACCUUUGUUUUAUGUUUUCAUAUAUGGUGCUGAGGAUUGAAUCCAGUGCCUCACACAUACCAGGCAAGUGCUCCACCACUGAGCCACAACCCCAGCCCUUAUUGUGGACUCUUUAGCUCCCAAUUUGUGUUACUGUGGAAAUUGCUGUAAUUACUAUUUUUGUCUGUAACUUUUUGCCUCCAUUGGAAAAUUUCCUCAGGAAAUGGGUAAGUUUCAACUACCUCUUAUGGAAAUCUAAACAAUUGUUGUGGCAAUGUUUUUUGCAUUUUCAAAAAAAUGCGAAACCAGAAUCAUCCUUCAACAGCAAAUACUUAAGUAAACUGUCCUACAUUUAAUCAUUGCACUACUGUGCAACCAUUAAAAGAAAUCGGAUUAUUCACAAUAGCUAAAAGAUAGAAACAAUCCACAUUGUCCAUCAACUCAGCUGAUGAAUGAAUAAACAAAGUAUGGUUUAAAGAUCUACACAAUGGGAUAUUAUUUAGCCAUAAAAAGAAUGAGAUUCUGGUAUGUGUUACAACAUGAAUGAACCUUGGAAACCUUAGCAUAAGUGAAAGAAGUUAGACACAAAAGGCCACAUAUAAUGUGAUUCCAUUUUUUGUGUAAUGUCUAGAGUAGGCAAAUCCAGAGAGCCAGAAUAUUUUCAGUAUUUAGGAGGUGGGGGAUGAGACAAUAUGGGGCUGGGAAAUGAUUGCUAAUGGGUGUAGUUUCUUUUGGGAUGAUGAAAUUAUUCUAGAAUUUGAUAGUAGUAAUGGUUGCACAAUCUUAUGAAUACACUAAAAAUCCACUGAAUUAUACACUUUAAAAAGAUGAAUUUCGUGAUAUGGGAAUUAUAUCUCAAUUUAAAAGACUGAAGAACUAUAUUGAUGUGAUUUAUUUUCAUUGAAAAAGCUAAAUGCAGAAUUCAGUCUAUAAUAUGCCAUUUUUGUGAGAAUUUUUGUUUGUUUGUUUGUUUUUUCCUUCCUUUAGUGGUGGAGACUGAGCUUUUCCAGGAAUAGGUCAGACCUGCCCUCACUCUUCAGUGAGUUCAGGCAAGAAAGUGGCUACUUUCUCUGAGAUUAGCGAGCACCUGUCAUGGACCAGGUGCUGAGAAUGCACACAGAUUUCUAGAUGAUCUGUUAUUAUUCCCAUUUUUCAGAUAAUAAAACAGACAUAAGAGAAACUAGUGACUUAUCAAGGUUACUCAGCCAAGACAGGAACCAACUCCAGGCCUAUCCAGAGGAGGUGAGUCUGAGGCUUGAGCCACGUGGAUCUAGCUCCCAGCUGUGUUUGCACCUGUGGAUUGUCAGGCCUGGGACAUGGAGACUACUUUUCUUCAGGAGCACAGCUAACAAAGAUGCUGGCUUAUGAAUUUACACUGAGAGGUCAUUUGUGGUCCUUUAUUUGAGGACAGUAUAAAGUGCACUUCAGAGAGUCCUCUUGUCCUAGGCCAGGCACUUGUAACUUGAUGGGAAGGUUUCAGUAGUUCCUUAAGUGGUCCACUCCUGUGGUCUGAACAUUCCAUUCUCCUUCAUGAAGCUGUCCUUGAUGUUUUUUUCUGACAGAAGACCCUGUCUACCAGCCACUCAACCAACUCCUAUGUUGUCCUCAAAACCCAGCUCAUAUGUCCCUUCUGUUGUUUCUCCUUAACAACACCAUUUAUAAAUGCCUGACUGGAGCCUUGAAAAUAAUACUAGUCAUAUUAACACAAGUAGUUAUCAUUUAGUGAGCUCCCUCUCCUGAUCACUGUUUUUUAACUGUACUUAUUCCUUUAAAUUCUCAUGGUAAUUAUGCAAUAAAAGUAUAUGUAUAAUUACUUACACUUCUUCCAGAUUGAGAAAGAACCUGGACAAGUUAAGAAACUUGCCCAGAGUCAUACAACCAGGACAUGAAGCAACAGGUCUUUCUGACUCCAAAGUUCAUAUUUUCCCCUUGCACCACAUCCUUUUCUUGCACCAAUCACUUCGAAUUGCAAAUGCUACUUGUCUCUUUCUUCACUGUUGCCCUGUAAGCCUUAGGAGGCAGGUGGUGGCUCUGACUUCAGGACUGCCACCCCACUGCCCAGUGUGGGGCCUGCUCCCAAGUGGCCAGUCAUAAAAGUUUAAUAAGAAUAAGAGGCAUUCCACUGGCACAGCCUGGAAAGUACAAGCAGUGUGUUUGUCCUUACCCUGGAGAGGGAACAGACCUGCUAUCUGUCCUAGAGUGGUGAUAAAGGGCAGGUUGUGCCUCCUGGAGGACUUGCAGAUGUUUCCUGAGGCCCCAAGAGCACGUCUGCUUUCGAGCUGCCUUGGCUGCCCAUUGGUGUGACUGCUGGGAAAGCCAAUUUCGUGGCUGUGCUGGAGAAUGUCAACAACCCACUCUAACCAGCUCUCUGGAUAUUUCCCUGAAAUAUUAAGGCCAGCAGGGACCCUUGAAGUAGAGGCCUCAAUUGCCAGCUUGUUGGAUUCCAGCAGGAUCUCUGUCAUAGAAACAGCAGCAAGGUAGUUGAGACAUCAAGCUUGGUUGUCAGCUCUUGCUUUGAAAACCCUAUCUCCCACUGACUACAUCUGUGGCAUUGGGACAAGUUCCUCAGACUUUCUUAGCCUCAAUUACUUAAGCCUUCACAGGGGAUGUUGCCUCCCUUUCAAGGUCAUGGAUAAAAGGAGAUAAUAUCUAUAAAAAUCCUUACCAGUGAGCCUAGCACAGUACCUGCAUCAACACUAAUGGCGAUAAUAAUUGUUAUCAUUAAACUACCAGAGUAGAUUUUUUUUUGUUACUAUAUCUACUAUAUAAGUAGAUUUUUUUUGUUACUAUAGUAGAUUUUUGUUUGCAGCUUUUAUUUAGGGGAAUAGAACAGUUUUCUACAAGGACAGGUCCUUGGGCCCGAUGGAUAGUUUCCCCUGGUCUAGGACACAUCCUGACUGAAGUAGUGGUCUCCAUCCUUUGAUGUGAGCAUGUGCUGUUCCUAGUUAACACUGGGAAGGUAGAGGCUGGGUUAAGAGGAGACUCCACUUUUCCUAGAUCACAGGCAGCAAACAAUUAUUUCUGUAUCCCAACCACCUACCAUGAGUUGAACAAUUAAUUAGCAGUUAUUAACAGUAUUGAUUAUUAUUUGAAGAAAAGAAAAAGAAUAAUAAUUUUACUCUGAACAAUAUAUGAAUUAGCAUUUUCAUAAGGAUUAUUUUAUUUACAUUAUUUAAGACAGAAAUACCUACCAAGAAAAAAAAAAAAGACAUGGCUUUAUUUAAAUUUCAUUGAACUAUCUGUUGAACUCCGUCAGUUUUCAUCUGCAGGCCUCUGGGAAAGAAAUAGAUUGGCUUGUGCAGUUUUAAU